rnacentral:rRNA from 1 species
GAUGAACGCUGGCGGCGUGCCUAAUACAUGCAAGUAGAACGCUGAAGGAGGAGCUUGCUCUUCUGGAUGAGUUGCGAACGGGUGAGUAACGCGUAGGUAACCUGCCUGGUAGCGGGGGAUAACUAUUGGAAACGAUAGCUAAUACCGCAUGACAACAGUUAUUGCAUGAUAACUGUUUAAAAGGGGCAACUGCUCCACUACCAGAUGGACCUGCGUUGUAUUAGCUAGUUGGUGAGGUAACGGCUCACCAAGGCGACGAUACAUAGCCGACCUGAGAGGGUGAUCGGCCACACCGGGACUGAGACACGGCCCAGACUCCUACGGGAGGCAGCAGUAGGGAAUCUUCGGCAAUGGACGGAAGUCUGACCGAGCAACGCCGCGUGAGUGAAGAAGGGUUUCGGAUCGUAAAGCUCUGUUGUAAGAGAAGAACGAGUGUGAGAGUGGAAAGUUCACACUGUGACGGUAUCUUACCAGAAAGAGACGGCUAACUACGUG